GACGAACGCUGGCGGCGUGCUUAACACAUGCAAGUCGAACGAGUGGCGAACGGGUGAGUAAUACGUGAGUAACCUGCCCUCUCUUUGGGAUAAGCCUUGGAAACGGGGUCUAAUACCGAAUAAAGGGGGUUGGGCUCGCGGGCUAUCAGGUUGUUGGUGGGGUGAUGGACUACAAAGGCGGUGACGGGUAGCCGGCCUGCGAGGGUGACCGGCGGCAUGGGAACUGGGCUACGGCCCAGACGGCGACAGGAGUGGGGAGUGGGGGAUAAUGCACGAUGGGCGGAAGCCUGAAGCAGCGGCGCCGCAUGAGGGAUGAAGGCUUGCAGGUUGUAAACCUCUGGCGCUAACAAACCGGUAGGUUGAGAAGAAGCGCCGGCUAACUACGUGCCAGCCGCCGCGGUAAUUC
rnacentral:rRNA from 1 species